CGAAAAGGGCGUUUGGUGAAUGCCUUGGCAGUAAGAGGCGAUGAAAGACGUGAUACUCUGCGAUAAGCCAUGGGGAGCUGAGAAUAAGCUUUGAUCCAUGGAUUUCUGAAUGGGGCAACCCACCUGACAGUUUGUUAUUGUUACCUUCGGGUAGUCAAUAACG
rnacentral:rRNA from 13 species